AUCCAAGGUGAUUCCCUCUCCAAGGGGCCUGCUCGUGCCCCUCUUCAGGAAAGUAGCAGCUUGGAACAGAACCUGGCAAGCCUCAGGCCGUUGGGGGAGGGGAGGUUUGUUUCCUUUGCCUGCCUUCGGCUGCCUACACCG
ensembl:snoRNA